rnacentral:rRNA from 1 species
AGAAAAGCAGGGGAUCGCAAGACCUUGCGCUUUUGGAGCGGCCGAUGUCUGAUUAGCUAGUUGGUGAGGUAAAGGCUUACCAAGGCGUCGAUCAGUAGCUGGUCUGAGAGGACACCAGCCACACUGGGACUGAGACACGGCCCAGACUCCUACGGGAGGCAGCAGUGGGGAAUUUUGGACAAUGGGGGAAACCCUGAUCCAGCCAUGCCGCGUGAGUGAAGAAGGCCUUCGGGUUGUAAAGCUCUUUCAGCCGGAACGAAACGGUCACGGCUAAUACCUGUGAUCACUGACGGUACCGGAAGAAGAAGCACCGGCUAACUACGUGCCAGCAGCCGCGGUAAUACGUAGGGUGCGAGUGUUAAUCGGAAUUACUGGGCGUAAAGCGUGCGCAGGCGGUUUUGUAAGUCAGAUGUGAAAUCCCCGGGCUUAACCUGGGAACUGCGUUUGAAACUACAAGG